rnacentral:rRNA from 1 species
AAAACACGCACCGGCGGCUCGAGUGGUAACCGUUAUUAUUGGGUCUAAAGGGUCUGUAGCCGGCCGGAUAAGUCUCUUGAGAAAUCUGGCAGCUUAACUGUCAGGCUUUCAGGAGAUACUGUCUGGCUCGAGGCCGGGAGAGGUGAGAGGUACUUCAGGGGUAGGGGUGAAAUCUUGUAAUCCUUGAAGGACCACCAGUGGCGAAGGCGUCUCACCAGAACGGACCUGACGGCAAGGGACGAAAGCUAGGGGCACGAACCGGAUUAGAUACCCGGGUAGUCCUAGCCGUAAACGAUACUCGCUAGGUGUCGGCCACGGUGCGACCGUUGUCGGUGCCGUAGGGAAGCCGUGAAGCGAGCCACCUGGGAAGUACGGCCGCAAGGCUGAAACUUAAAGGAAUUGGCGGGGGAGCACCACAACGGGUGGAGCUUGCGGUUUAAUUGGAUUCAACGCCGGAAAUCUUACCGGGACCGACAGCAAUAUGAAGGCCAGGCUGAAGACUUUGCCGGAUUAGCU